GAUGGACGCUGGCGGCGUGCUUAACACAUGCAAGUCGAACGAAGAUGCCGGAGUGCUUGCACUUUGGCAGACUGAGUGGCGGACGGGUGAGUAACGCGUGGGUAACCUGCCUUAUACAGGGGGAUAACAGUUGGAAACGACUGCUAAUACCGCAUAAGCGCACGGUAUCGCAUGAUACAGUGUGAAAAACUCCGGUGGUAUAAGAUGGACCCGCGUCUGAUUAGCUAGUUGGUGGGGUAACGGCUCACCAAGGCAACGAUCCCUAGCUGGUCUGAGAGGAUGACCAGCCACACUGGGACUGAGACACGGCCCAAACUCCUACGGGAGGCAGCAGUGGGGAAUAUUGCACAAUGGGGGAAACCCUGAUGCAGCGACGCCGCGUGAGCGAAGAAGUAUUUCGGUAUGUAAAGCUCUAUCAGCAGGGAAGAAGAAAUGACGGCACCUGACUAAGAAGCACCGGCUAAAUACGUGCCAGCAGCCG
rnacentral:rRNA from 1 species